AUUAUUCCUAGCUGUGGUAUCCAGGCAGCUCGGGCCUGCUUUGAACACUCUAAUUUUUUCAAAGUAAACGCUUCGGGCCCCGCGGGACACUCAGCUAAGAGCAUCGAGGGGACGCCGAGAUGCAAGGGGCGGAGAUCGCAA